rnacentral:rRNA from 1 species
UACGGGGGGGGUAAGCGUUGUUCGGAAUUACUGGGCGUAAAGGGCUCGUAGGCGGCCAGCUAAGUCAUACGUGAAAUCCCUCAGCUUAACUGGGGAACUGCGUGUGAUACUGGAUGGCUUGGAUUUGGGAGAGGGAUGCGGAAUUCCAGGUGUAGCGGUGAAAUGCGUAGAUAUCUGGAGGAACACCGGUGGCGAAGGCGGCAGCCUGGACCAAGAUUGACGCUGAGGAGCGAAAGCGAGGGGAGCAAACGGG